rnacentral:rRNA from 11 species
CAGGUGGUGCAUGGUUGUCGUCAGCUCGUGUCGUGAGAUGUUGGGUUAAGUCCCGCAACGAGCGCAACCCUCAUCCUUAGUUGCCAUCACGUUUGGGUGGGCACUCUAAGGAAACUGCCGGUGGUAAGCCGGAGGAAGGUGGGGAUGACGUCAAGUCCUCAUGGCCCUUACGCGCUGGGCUACACACGUGCUACAAUGGCAGUGACAGAGGGCAGCUAGAUCGCAAGAUCAUGCGAAUCUCCAAAAACCGUCUCAGUUCGGAUUGCACUCUGCAACUCGAGUGCAUGAAGUCGGAAUUGCUAGUAAUCGCGGAUCAGCAUGCCGCGGUGAAUACGUUCCCGGGCCUUGUACACACCG